rnacentral:lncRNA from 1 species
AGAAGCGGACAAGCAAACAGCGGAUGUGCAGUUCCUCUCUUCGCCGAACCCGGUUUUCCCUUUCGGAGCAGCGCGACCGAUUUCCGGUUUCCCCGCCGCAACCACCGUUACCCCCCCCCCGCCCCAAUCCCCGGCGACUCCAGCGACGUCACCGGUUCAGCUCCUGACCUUUCGGCGAACCGCAGAACCACAGGCGACCCGUUCGACGUCAUCACUCCCCGCCCAGAUGUCGCUGUGACAUCACCCCGCACGUGCCUGCGCUGGCACCGCGUCGUCCUGGCGAGCGCCUCCUCGCGGCGGAAGGAGAUCCUGGGGUUCGCUGUGCGAGACAUGUCGGCGGGGUUUCACGUGAGUGACACUUGGUCCCCACGGGAUUGACAGCGACUAGCGGAGUGGCAUGUGGACGUAGCUUCAGGCCUUGGAGGGGCUGAUCCUGGAGAAGUCAAAGGACCAGGAGGACGCCAUGGGGGGUGCUGUACAGGCUGAGCAGGAAGCAGAGCAGCACAGCGUCAUCAUGAGGGUAGCCAUCUUCACCUGGGGCAUCCACGGAGGCCCUGCCCAGGAAGUGACUUUCUCUCUACUGUAGGAGGAGCUGAUCCACGACUACUUGGACAACAGCACACCAGCGAAGGAUGGUGGAAGAAAAGUGUUUUGAAACUGACCCUACAGAUAAAAGAGUUCAUCAUGAAUGCGAUACCCUCCUAUACAGUUGUUAGAAGCAACCCUCCAUCUCCAACUCCAAAAAUAAAUGAAAACCAAACCACACAGUUGGAAAUCAGGGGUCUGCAACAACACAAGGAAGCAAGCAACCCGUGAGAAAGCACUGGCAUGGAUGAAAACAGACUCACUGGAAAGAUGCAAAGCAAUGUCAGGUUACACAACAAAAGGCAAUUACAGUCAUAUGAGGGAGUGUUCGAAAAGUUGUAAUUUGAAAACUGUUUUUGGUUGUCCUUUAGUUGGCCUCCUCUGUAAAUUGUGACAGACAUCUCCUGACAACACUUAAAGCAUCUCAAACCAUCCUUGCCCUGAUCUAUGAGUUCUCAGAACAGAAGGACUACUGAGCCAGGCGUGGUAGCACAUGCCUGUGAUCCUACAACUCAGAAGACAGAAGAGGAAUUCUAGGUCAGCCUGGGCUAGACAGACAGCAAGACUCUUGUUUUGUUUUGAAAGGCUGGUGAGGUAGUUCAGCGGGUUAACUGCCUGGUCUAAGCCCAGUGACGUGAGUUUGUGUGCUGUGGAGCUUCUGCAAACCCUGCCCCUGCCAAAUAAAAACUCGUAAUUUAUAACUCACAAAAA